AGGAAUAUUGGUCAAUGGGCGAGAGCCUGAACCAGCCAAGUAGCGUGCAGGAUGACAGCCCUAUGGGUUGUAAACUGCUUUUAUAAGGGAAUAAAGUGAGUCUCGUGAGGCUUUUUGCAUGUACCUUAUGAAUAAGGACCGGCUAAUUCCGUGCCAGCAGCCGCGGUAAUACGGAAGGUCCGGGCGUUAUCCGGAUUUAUUGGGUUUAAAGGGAGCGUAGGCCGGAGAUUAAGCGUGUUGUGAAAUGUAGACGCUCAACGUCUGCACUGCAGCGCGAACUGGUUUCCUUGAGUACGCACAAAGUGGGCGGAAUUCGUGGUGUAGCGGUGAAAUGCUUAGAUAUCACGAAGAACUCCGAUUGCGAAGGCAGCUCACUGGAGCGCAACUGACGCUGAAGCUCGAAAGUGCGGGUAUCGAACAGGAUUAGAUACCCUGGUAGUCCGCACGGUAAACGAUGGAUGCCCGCUGUUGGCCUGAAUAGGUCAGCGGCCAAGCGAAAGCAUUAAGCAUCCCACCUGGGGAGUACGCCGGCAACGGUGAAACUCAAAGGAAUUGACGGGGGCCCGCACAAGCGGAGGAACAUGUGGUUUAAUUCGAUGAUACGCGAGGAACCUUACCCGGGCUUGAAUUGCAGAGGAAGGAUUUGGAGACAAUGACGCCCUUCGGGGCCUCUGUGAAGGUGCUGCAUGGUUGUCGUCAGCUCGUGCCGUGAGGUGUCGGCUUAAGUGCCAUAACGAGCGCAACCCCUCUCCUUAGUUGCCAUCAGGUCAUGCUGGGCACUCUGGGGACACUGCCACCGUAAGGUGUGAGGAAGGUGGGGAUGACGUCAAAUCAGCACGGCCCUUACGUCCGGGGCUACACACGUGUUACAAUGGCAGGUACAGAGAGACGGUCCCUUGCAAAAGGGAUCAAAUCCUCAAAGCCUGUCUCAGUUCGGACUGGGGUCUGCAACCCGACCCCACGAAGCUGGAUUCGCUAGUAAUCGCGCAUCAGCCAUGGCGCGGUGAAUACGUUCCCG
rnacentral:rRNA from 1 species